GAGGUCCUGCGCGUCCUCUCGGCGGCCAUGGAGGGCUGGCGGCGCUUUGGCGGUGAGUGGUCUUCGUGCCCCGCGGCGGAGACAGGCCCCGCGCUCCUGAGGAGGGAGUUUGCCUGCUGGAAACUGGGUCCCUGUGAGGACAUGCUGAGUCUUCCGUAAGUUGACAGGAAGGACAGUGACUGAACUUGCUCGGUGUGAUCCUUGGCCAGGGGAACCAGCUGUGAGCUGCACCCAUCAAGAUGGAGUCCCUGAAGGAAGAGGUCUGGCCCCCCGCCUCAGGGCCUGUAAGGCAGGCACAGGUGUGGCUCCGGGAGUGGACCCAGUGGGAGUGGCCAUUCAGCGUGUCUCUAGGUAGAGUGCCCCGGGGUGCUGCCUGCCCGCCUUGUUCUGGGCUGCUGCACCCAGUUCCUAUGCUAACUGACUGGGAUCAUCCUGAUUUUGGUUACUGUCUUGCCUAAGAUGGGAAAAACAAUAGGGAAGAAUGAGUUGUAAGUAGAGGGUGAGGUGCAGUCAUGAGAAAGAACAUGGGGAAGUUGUGGUUGGAACCUGGGAAGGGUUCUAACUUAAGCAAAAGACAUUAAAAUGAACUAAAGGGCCAGGGAUUCAGCUCAGUGGCACCGCGCCUGCCUCACAAGCAGAAGGUCCUGAGUUCCGUCCCCGGUACCAGAAAAAAAAGAAAUUACAAUAAAAUGAACUGAAAGCUUUA